rnacentral:rRNA from 1 species
UACGUAGGGUGCGAGCGUUGUCCGGAAUUACUGGGCGGAAAGAGCUCGUAGGUGGUUUGUCGCGUUGUUCGUGAAAACUCACAGCUUAACUGUGGGCGUGCGGGCGAUACGGGCAGACUGGAGUACUGCAGGGGAGACUGGAAUUCCUGGUGUAGCGGUGAAAUGCGCAGAUAUCAGGAGGAACACCAACAGCGAAGGCAGCACUCUGGGCCGGUACUGACGCUGAGGAGCGAAAGCAUGGGGAGCGAACAGG